GGGUUUUCUUUUAUUUUUCUCCCUGCGCCAUCGAGAGGCUUUGAAGAUUCGACUUUCGACGUUCGAGCGCGAUCGAUGGCAUCUCCUGCAGAUUCAACGGCCGCGCUACUCCGAUCCGCUGUUGGUCCUCCGCUUCACGCGACUGACGCCGAUGAGGACGACGAGAGCGUGAAGCAGCUCAAGGAGUGCGCCGUCCUUUACUUGUCUCUUCAGGAAUGCCUCGCCGAGACCAAUAGGGACUGGAAGUCUUGCCAACCUUAUGUUCAAGCACUAAAGGCAUGUCAUGGAAAAAGGGACCACAGUGACCUGAAGUGAAGAUUUAACUAUUGGAACAGGCAGUAGUCUCUACAUUUUGUGAUUGUUCCAUGAUAUGAGUCAUCGAGCAACCACCAUUGCAGGUUGUGAAGCUGCUAUCAUUUGGGUCAUGAAGUGCUUAGUAGUUGAGGUGCAUGCCAAGCUAGAGCUGCUGAGCUUGAGGUUCUGAUUAUAGAGUUUCUUGAUGUAGUUGAUCAGGUUGAAGAAUCUUUUGACCACUAUUCAACUCUUGAGGUCUCUCUUUUGGUUGCAACUGCUCUAGUACCAGGACAUACUAGAGAUAACUAAUCCCAUUAGUUCAUAAAGUUCAGGCCAUUCAUGGGAGAGUCCAAUCCAUUAAAGGCUCAUAAGUAGCUUCACAAUGGGGGUUGUAGAGUUCAAUGUGCAAAGUUGCCUAGAGGAAGAUAAAGUCUUAUUUGCCAGAUACUAUUUUUCUAGAGAUGCUUGGAAUUUGGUGGGAAAUCAUGGGGAUCACUUUGGAAGGGAUUUAAAUGAAGGUGGCAGGGCAGAGCACAAUUACCAUCUAGCAAUAGGUGGUGUUUGUGGUGAUGGUGUUCAAGGUUGUUUAGGACAUAAUUUUUUUUAGGAGCAAAAGGACUGCACGAGGAGCCCCAUCAUCUUGAGAGCAAGCUCAACAAGGUAGAGGAUCAUUACAGAGUUAGAAAGCUCAUUCCUGCACAAUACCUUUCCUUUUCCAUGUAGUAGUAAAAAAUCUCCAUUGCGAUUGCCAACCUCAACCCCUCAAGUGUGGUGCAGUGACAAAACAUUCAAAAAAGUAAUAAAAGGAUUAUGGUUUGAAUCCCAAAUGAGACUAAUAUUCAUAUUAGAGGUCAACUUUUGUGUAUGCAUAAGUUGUAUUUUGGAUUUAUCCUAUAAGAGAGAAGAUCCAUAUUUUGGAGGGGAUUUGUCUAGAAGUCUUAGUAAUAACUCCAUAAGACUUUCUUCUUUUUGUCAGCGAGACUGCUAAUAACCUUGCCUCCUCAUUUUUACAUUGGUCAGCGUAAGUGUUUAUUUAUUUUUUUCUUUUUUGGAGGGUGAUGUUGGGUGUCUCUACAUGUAUUUUUAAAAUUUUAUUUCCUAAACAAGC